UGGAUAGCUCAGUUGGUUAAGCAUGAGACUCUUAAUCUCAUGGUCAAAGGUUUGAGCCCCACAUUGGGCAAAA
rnacentral:tRNA from 1 species